rnacentral:misc_RNA from 1 species
GGGAAAAGCGGGUCAGAUGGUACCACUUUCUACUUCUUAACUCCCAUAAUUAAAGCUCCCUCUCUCCGCUGGUUUCACUCUUUUCACACUAAUUCGUCCUGCCAGCUCUUCACCCAGAUCCAGGAGAUGCUUUUUCAUUGAUGAUGAUAACUGACAGUCACUUUUUAGUUGGAAUGUGUGAAUAAUAGUGCUGAAGACUUUUAAGUUGGAAAAGCAGGUUAAGCAUCCCUUCAGUUGUGCAAUGUUGCUUUUGACAGUUUGAGGUCUCAAAAAGUUGAGAGUAGAAGAUGGAGGAGAUACAGUCUCAAUCAGAUAAUUAUAGAUCUUCUUCGUCUUCAGCCAGUAGUCCUGCAAGCAGGGUGCCUUCAAGUAACUUUUUUUACUUGCGGAAGCCUGGUUCACUUAGACAACCAAUCUCAUUUGAGGAUUCACCAGAAUGGGAGGAUACAGAUGUCGAUGUUAGGGUGGAGGAAGGAGGUGACUCUAUCAAUGUUGCUGCAACACCAGCGUCCCCAUGUCUAUCAAAGCUUAAUAGUGGGUCAUUGCCAUCACCGCCAUUACCAGAGAAUGCAGUUGUUGCGAGAAAGAUUGCGGGAUCUUCCGUUGUCUGGAAAGACUUGACUGUUACAAUCAAGGGUAAAAGGAAGUACUCUGAUAAAGUUGUAAAGAGCUCAAGUGGUUAUGCACUGCCAGGGACGAUGACAGUAAUCAUGGGUCCUGCAAAGUCAGGGAAAUCUACAUUGUUGCGGGCUAUUGCAGGAAGAUUACAUCAUUCAGCCAAAAUGUAUGGUGAAGUAUUUGUGAACGGCACAAAAUCACACUUGCCUUAUGGCUCAUAUGGUUUUGUUGAAAGGGAAACUACUCUGAUUGGGUCCCUCACCGUCCGAGAACACCUAUACUACUCUGCACUGCUUCAACUUCCUGGUUUCUUCUGUCAGAAAAAGACUGUGGUAGAGGAUGCCAUCCAUGCCAUGUCCUUGAGUGAUUAUGCAAAUAAAUUGAUUGGAGGCCACUGUUAUAUGAAGGGCAUUCCUAAUGGUGAGAGAAGGCGUGUUAGCAUUGCCCGGGAGCUGGUGAUGAGGCCCCAUAUCUUAUUUAUAGAUGAGCCUCUUUAUCAUCUUGACAGUGUCUCUGCUCUUCUGAUGAUGGUUACAUUAAAGAAACUUGCAAGCACUGGUUUCACUCUUAUCUUUACCAUUUACCAGAGCAGUACUGAAGUAUUUGGCCUCUUUGAUCGGAUCUGCCUGCUAUCAAAUGGAAAUACGUUAUUUUUUGGAGAAACUUUGGCUUGCUUGCAGCACUUCUCAAAUGCCGGAUUUCCUUGCCCAAUUAUGCAAAGUCCUUCUGAUCACUUCUUACGUGCAAUAAACACUGAUUUUGACAGGAUAAUUGCAAUGUGCAAAAAUUGGCAGGAUGACCAUGGAGACUUUUCAUCAGUGAAUAUGGAUACUGCUGUUGCCAUUCGUACCUUAGAAGCAACAUAUAAAUCAUCAGCAGAUGCUGCUGCAGUUGAAACAAUGAUAUUGAAACUCACAGAAAAGGUAUGAAUGAAAGUUUGCAAACUCCUUUCGUUAGACUAUUAUUUGGCCUAUACCCAUUCUGAGCCUUUGUUGUGCACAUUGUUAUUGACUCCCAUGGGGCACUUGGAGUUUCUUGUUGUCAGGAUGUUGUUGGUUCAUGCCUUGAUUGGUUGCAGAUGGAAUAGAAUCUUUGCACUUUUGUUACCAUAAUACUGUGGUUGUGUCAUCACAAGCAGUGCAGCGUAUUUGGACCCAAAUUUCCUGGAUUGAUCCAUAAUGCUUGGAGGAAAAGGGCUUGGUUCAUGAUGAUUAAAACAUAUGACUAUCAUGAUAUCAUCAGCCUCAACUAACCUGUUAUCUGUUUGUGCAUGCACAUUUGUGUUAGUUUUCUUGUCUGUUUCUGGUUUCAAUGAAGAUGCAAGUAAUAAAUUUCAUUCUGAAGCAAAAUUUUAAAUCUGAGGAAUGCCAUCAACAAUUACAUUUCCUGCGUUAGAUUUUAAUCAGUCAUUUUGCUCUUUGCAUUGAAUGUAAACUGAAGUGAAGCUGUGAAAGCACUACUGCAUGCAAGGGUCCACUAAAGCCUAGCUUUUAGUCUUCAAUAACUGUUGUCAUAUGUGAUCACUUAUGCAGGAGGGUCCGUAUCUUAAAAGCAAGGGAAAAGCUAGCAGUGCCACAAGGAUUGCAGUUUUGACAUGGAGAUCACUGUUAAUUAUUUCGAGGGAGUGGAAAUACUACUGGCUUCGUCUUAUUCUUUGUAUGCUUCUCACACUCUGUAUUGGAACAGUAUUUUCUGGCCUGGGGCAUUCUUUGUCUUCCGUUGUGACAAGGGUCGCGGCAAUAUUCACAUUUAUAUCAUUUACUUCACUUCUAAGCAUUGCAGGAGCACCUUCGCUUCUUAAGGAAAUCAAGAUAUAUGCCAGUGAAGAAUCAAAUAAGCAUUCUGGGGCAUUAGUCUUUUUACUUGGGCAGCUUCUCUCCAGCAUCCCAUUUCUUUUUCUCAUCUCCAUUUCAUCAAGUCUAGUCUUCUAUUUCCUUAUAGGGUUGCGAGACGAAUUCAGCUUGUUAAUGUACUUCGUUUUGAAUUUCUUCAUAUGUCUCUUAGUAAAUGAAGGACUAAUGCUGCUUAUCACUGCCCUUUGGCAACAUGUUUUCUCGAGUGUCUUGAUGCUGGUAUUAAUACAUGUGGUAAUGAUGCUUUCUGCAGGAUAUUUUAGAAUUCGAAAUGCUUUGCCAGGACCAGUAUGGACAUAUCCAAUAUCCUAUAUUGCUUUUCACACAUACUCUAUUCAGGGACUUUUGGAGAAUGAGUACCUGGGGACUUCAUUUGCUGUUGGGGAAGUGAGGACCAUUUCUGGGAUUCAGGCCCUCCGAAGUGCAUACGAUAUCUCUUCUGACAGUAAUUCCAAAUGGGAGAAUCUGUUGUUAUUGUUUCUCAUGGCAAUUGCAUAUCGUAUACUAGUGCUUAUUGUACUGUAUUUUCAUGUUGGAAAGAAUGAAUCUACACCUAAGUUUUUCCAGUGCAAUCAGGAUACAAGCAAUCCAAGAUGAAUGGAAUUUGCACUGCUAGUGUUGUUUCUGUUCAAGCUGUAUGAUUCCCUUUUACCGUGCCCUGCUUCUCACAGUUGGAAAUUAAUGAUGAAAUACGGAAACGCAUAGUAUUACACCAUCAUAUAUGUUUUCAGGUCUGUCUUCUCUGGGGUGGUUAGCCUGGAUUGUAUGUUGUACCAAUUUCUUUAAUGGUUUUUCAAGUGGGUGUAAAUAUACGCCCAUUAACUUUCAUUUAAUGUUAAUGAGAUGCUGCUUAGUAAUCAGUCAUCCAAUCUAAUAUAUUUUAUAAUGCAUAAAAUUAAUU